GAUGAAUUUCUUCCCUCUCUCCACUUCACAGGCCAGGCUCAUAGCUGCCCGUGGGUAGGAACUAUCUGCAGGGAGGGGUAAAGACUCCAGCUGCUUGGAGUUCUAUGACCCUUCCCAAAGGUAGAUCUACCCAUUUUUCAAUGGAGAAGAUGAGGCCAAAGGGAAGUUGCCGGAUACCUUGCUUCCACCCCUCUCUCCCAUGCCCUCCUGUGUAGCUGAGCUCAUGGCAUCAGAAUCUCAGGACCCUUCAACACUUUCCAGCUGGGCAAGGGGGCAAGGCUGUGCAAUGGCUCAGAGAUAGCCCAACAAAUGCUCUGUAAUGAGACUUGGAGUUUCAACCUCACUGUCUGGAGCAGAAGAGAAAUGGGAAAUAUGACAUAUGGAGGUGCCACUGAAACAAAACACCCCAAAAUCUUGAGUCAACACAGUGGGGCUAGCACUCUGGAGUCGCCACUGGAACUGCAGUGGGUUUGUCUGAAUGACAAAUACACUUAUCUGCAGAGUCAUGGGAAGAAUUUAAGCAGGAAAAUGAUGGAGCCUGGACCACUGAUUAGAGAGAUCAUUCAUUCCUUGACCAACAUAAAGGAACUAAGUGGAAGAGACCUGAUUGGAACCCAGGUCAGUCCGAUAACAAAGCCUUCAUUCUUAAAACUCCCCUGCCUUCUGAGAGAAGUUUUUUCCUUGGCCAGGGAAAGUGUAUUUCAGUGUGGAAGCUCCCAGUUCGGCUUGUCAAUGAUCUUUCUUGCUGCUUCUUCCUUUCUCUUCUUAUCAGCUGCUCCUCCCUGGUGCACCUCCUCCUUUUGUUAUAUCCCUAGGCCAUCUGCUCAAGCAGGGAUUCCCAGCCAGAGAGCUGUGGCUCACUCGUGUGCCACGGACCCUUCUCAGCUGUGAGAGGUCAAACCUCAAUCAAUGGGUAAAGCUUAUUUACUUGUUUAUUUUUGUGCAACUAAGAGGGAGAUGUCUGCAGGAAGAACACUGAGCUGGAUGUGGGCUACUAUAGCAGAACAUCAAGGCAGUCCCAAAGCAUGAGGCAAGCAGGCUCUGCUCAUCACAGUCACUGAGGCUCAGGCUGAGAGAACAGUCACCGCCUUGACCCUCACCAGUCUCCACACCAGAAGGAAAACAGAGCCUAAAGGGUCUCGCACCUGAAAUUAAAUGCUGGGUCUGCAAGUGAGAACUACUCUGCCCACAACUCAUGGGCCAGAACUAGUCACAUGGCCCCACCAGCUAGAGGGGACUAGAAGGUGUGAGUUCACCAUGUACCUGGAACAUGGGGAGCCAGAGGAUCUGGUGAGCAGCUCUGUCGGGCACCACCAUAUACCUUGUGCCCAGCAGAGUAGGGGAGGAGCAAAUUUUUGAUGAAGAUGGUGUCAGCCUGAGCAUCCUUCCACAACAGCUCUUGCUAAGGCCCCAGUGACCUGCAUGUUACUCCACCUGGUAGACACUUUUCGGUCCUCAUUUUCCUUAACCUUGCUUGUCACACUGCACUGUCCUUCUUAAUACGUGUUUCUUGGCUCAAGCACACAUCGUUUAACUGACUUCCUUCCUAUCUCUUGCGUUACUGCUUCCCUGGCUCCUUUGCAACUUUUCCCUUCUUCUACCGGCCUUGCAUUUUGGAGAUUCUCAGGGUGUGGACCUCUUUCCUCAGCAGAUAUCAUCCACUGCCUUGCCUUGAACAAUCCCCUUCACCUAGAUGACUUGACUUGCUUUGGAUCUCCAUGUUCAUGUGUUCUGC
ensembl:lincRNA